rnacentral:tRNA from 1 species
AGACGACUAGUCUAUUGAAAGACCGUUGAUUUCGGCUCAACAAAACGUGGUUAAAAUCCAUGGUCGUCAU